rnacentral:rRNA from 1 species
GACGAACGCUGGCGGCGUGCUUAACACAUGCAAGUCGAACGGAAAGGCCCUGCUUUUGUGGGGUGCUCGAGUGGCGAACGGGUGAGUAACACGUGAGUAACCUGCCCUUGACUUUGGGAUAACUUCAGGAAACUGGGGCUAAUACCGGAUAGGAGCUCCUGCUGCAUGGUGGGGGUUGGAAAGUUUCGGCGGUUGGGGAUGGACUCGCGGCUUCUCAGCUUGUUGGUGGGGUAGUGGCUUACCAAGGCUUUGACGGGUAGCCGGCCUGAGAGGGUGGCCGGACCCGUUGGGACGGGAAUGAGGCCCGGACUCCUACGGGAGGCGGGGGUGGAGAGGAGUGUACAGCGGGCGGGAGCCUGGUGCGGCGACGCCGCGUGGGGGAUAACGGGCUUCGGGUUGGAAACCGCUUUUGUCUGUGACGAAGCGUGAGUGACGGUAAUGGGUAAAGAAGCACCGGCUAACUACGUG